GCCAGUUUUUUAAAGUUAAUCUCUACACCCAACGUGAGGCUCGAACUCACAACCCUGAGAUCAAGAGUCACAUGCUCUACCAACUGAGCUGGC
rnacentral:snoRNA from 1 species